GAUGAACGCUGGCGGCGUGCCUAAUACAUGCAAGUCGAGCGAACGGACGAGAAGCUUGCUUUUCUGAUGUUAGCGGCGGACGGGUGAGUAACACGUGGAUAACCUACCUAUAAGACUGGGAUAACUUCGGGAAACCGGAGCUAAUACCGGAUAAUAUUUUGAACCGCAUGGUUCAAAAGUGAAAGACGGUCUUGCUGUCACUUAUAGAUGGAUCCGCGCUGCAUUAGCUAGUUGGUAAGGUAAAGGCUUACCAAGGCAACGAUGCAUAGCCGACCUGAGAGGGUGAUCCGCCACAUCGGGACUGAGACACGGCCCCAACCCCUAAGGGAGGCAGCAGUAGGGAAUCCUCCGCAAUGGGCGAAAGCCUGACGGAGCAACGCCGCGUGAGUGAUGAAGGUCUUCGGAUCGUAAAACUCUGUUAUUAGGGAAGAACAUAUGUGUAAGUAACUGUGCACAUCUUGACGGUACCUAAUCAGAAAGCCACGGCUAACUACGUG
rnacentral:rRNA from 1 species